GAGAUAAGUUUCUCGGCUUUGUUGAUUGACAGACUCCUGAUAUUUCAGUAGUAUGCGGUGAUAGGAAGAUCUAAAAUACA
ensembl:ncRNA T12D8.12 ncRNA